rnacentral:rRNA from 1 species
GUAACGCGUAUAUAACCUACCUAUUACAAGGAGAUACUCUGGAGAAAUUCGGAAUAAUAUUCUAUGGUACUGUUGAUUGGCAUCAAUUGAUAGUUAAAGCGAGAGCGGUAAUAGAUGGAUAUGCGUCUGAUUAGUUAGUUGGUAGGGUAACGGCCUACCAAGACGAUGAUCAGUAGGGGUUCUGAGAGGAAGGUCCCCCACACUGGCACUGAGAUACGGGCCAGACUCC